UUUGGAGUGACAGCCCCCCUUGGAGAAAACUCCACCAGCUGCCACUGCUCGAGACGAUGGCAAUUUGAAGUUUACGUGCCAGCCGCCAGCAAGCAACCAAACUUCAGUCGGGCUUGAACAAUUUCGCUUUUGGUCGAAGUGAUCCACGAUGCUGUUGCGAGUUGUCCUCUCUGAAAUGGAUAUCAGGCGCCUCCCAUCGAAAACACCCCUCGCCGAGAGUUGAGGAACUGUGCCAGGUGUUGCGUGCAAACGUUGGCCUGAGAGGUGGAUUUAUUUUACAAUUUGAAGACCCUGCGUUCAAGGAUCAGCUGACCAACCUGACCGACAUCCGAGACCUUCCUGGGGAGCGAGCAACAUUGAAAGUGUUGUUCACAGCUGAUGCUGCUCUCUCGGAUUCCACAUUGGAUACAGCCACUCUUACAUCUCUCGGUAGUGGGGAAUCUGACGCCCAGCAAUGGCCUGAGCCCUUCCCGAUUCCAGAGUUUUCACAUGAUGUUGAACACACGCUGCAAGAAGCAAAUGGAAGAUAUGCAAAAGAUGGAUCUGUGAUGGUGAUUCCUAAAGGUAUGAAAACUGAUAUCCUGGACACACUUGCAGACAGCAUGUCAAAGAUUAGUCCUUAUCCUGAGAGGCAUCACUACGAGAAUGUUGCAAAAGCGCUCGUGGAGAAGCAUCCCAGUCUCAAAGAAACAGGGUCUGGAAAGGGUUGGUACGGCUGGUUCCACAGCUUGAAGUUUAAGCUCGGAAACUAGCGGCAGAAGUUAAGUGCAGCUGGAUGCCCAGAGGUGAGAGUCAACAAAAGGAAAGGAGAAUAUGCCAAGGGACCACGUGUGAAGAAGUCAAAGAAGGGCAAGGUCCACUACUGUCCAGAUCCCCCUGAAGGACUGAGUGCUGAAGACACGGAAGAAAAGCGGAGGAUGAUUGAGGUGGAAAAGCUGAAAAAAGACCUGGAUCACCAGCAGAUAGAGCAGCUGAUGUCUGCCACGUUCUCCAAGCGGAGAAAGGAGAUCGUAGGGGAUCAACCUCUCAUCAGGGAUGUCAUGAGCAGAUGGCCGGCCAUGUGAGAGACAGGUUCGUGCAGAGUUCAAAAGAAUCGUAAGCACAGACGUUCUCGAGUCGUUCCUCGACGGACUUGAUGACCUGGUACCAGGACUGCUAGAAAUGUACAAACCUGCGAGUCCGGAAGAAGCCUGCACUGAAAGCCAUUUUGGAUUGUCUGAAGAAAGAUGACACAAAAGAAAGGAGAAGGACUGCUGCUCUGCUGGGUCUGCUACAUUACCUAUCCGAAGAGCCAUCAGAAAUCAUCAGGAUGCCCAUGGUGAGACUCUGGCUGCAGCCAUGAAGGGGAUGCAACUUGGCCUACUGAUAGGCUAUGAAAGUGACAACCAGGAUGCCUUUCCACGUCUUCAAUGUGGCAGUUGUGGUCGAGGAGACCGUUGUGCUACACAAUUUCAAGGAUGUCCCAUCCAGCUUCGCCAUGCUUCUGGGGAUCAUCUACUGCGUUAACCUUGAGUAUCCACGAGCCAUGAAGUAUUCCUUUGAGUUCUUUCAGAGGGUAGUGAUGAAGAUCAAACCAGAUCAAGCCUCUGCCAGAGUCCACGGUGUCCGAAACAAGCUCCUGAGGUAUAAUCUGUAAACCAUGCCCCCACCCGCGAAUGGGGUUGGAAUGCAUAUUUCAUUUGUUUCUGUUGACAUGUAUACCAAAGUUGAAGGCAAAAGCACUUAAGCAAACAGGAGAGGAAAAGCCCUGAUAUGUGUUAGACUUGAUACAUUUACUUUUGUUGGACUGAAUACAUUUAAAGCUGAAUAUUGUUCAAAUAAUGGGGUCGGGGUCAAAUUACACUUUAUGUAAUCAAGUUUCAGGUAUUUGAAAACCACCAGCUAAAGUCUGAAGUUUGAGUUUGUUUGUUUGAUGGUUUUUGGGCUGAAUCAGAUUCAGCACAGCUUUUGCAUCCAAAUGAGUAGAAUGACUUUGUUGAACUAGAAUUUUGAUAGAGACAAAUAAUACAUUUCAAAGUAUAAGUCUGCUGGAAUUGUGUGACAUUACUGUUAAUAGGUUUUUUACAUGUUUACAUCAAAAACCUGUUCAAUAUUUAAAUGUUUUGCUUUAACAGGAAUGCAUUUUCUAUUGGGUGAAUAUGAAUAGUGUUUAGUACAGUGUUUAUCUACAAAAGUAUUGAUACAAGUUUGAGGUUUGAUUGCUCCAAUGCUGGAGUGUGUAUG